GAACGGCAGCGCGGGAGCAAUCCUGGCGGCGAGUGGCGAACGGGUGAGUAAUACAUCGGAACGUGCCCAAUCGUGGGGGAUAACGCAGCGAAAGCUGUGCUAAUACCGCAUACGAUCUACGGAUGAAAGCAGGGGACCGCAAGGCCUUGCGCGAAUGGAGCGGCCGAUGGCAGAUUAGGUAGUUGGUGGGGUAAAGGCUCACCAAGCCGACGAUCUGUAGCUGGUCUGAGAGGACGACCAGCCACACUGGGACUGAGACACGGCCCAGACUCCUACGGGAGGCAGCAGUGGGGAAUUUUGGACAAUGGGCGCAAGCCUGAUCCAGCCAUGCCGCGUGCAGGAUGAAGGCCUUCGGGUUGUAAACUGCUUUUGUACGGAACGAAAAGGUUCUUUCUAAUAAAGAGAGCUCAUGACGGUACCAUAAGAAUAAGCACCGGCUAACUACGUG
rnacentral:rRNA from 1 species